AUACGGGAGGCAGCAGUGGGGAAUUUUGGACAAUGGGGGCAACCCUGAUCCAGCCAUGCCGCGUGAGUGAAGAAGGCCUUCGGGUUGUAAAGCUCUUUCAGCCGGGAAGAAAUCGCGUAGGUGAAUAGCCUGCGUGGAUGACGGUACCGGACCAAGAAGCACCGGCUAACUACGUGCCAGCAGCCGCGGUAAUACGUAGGGUGCGAGCGUUAAUCGGAAUUACUGGGCGUAAAGCGUGCGCAGGCGGUUCGAUAAGACUGACGUGAAAUCCCCGGGCUUAACCUGGGAAUGGCGUGGGUGACUGUCGAGCUAGAGUCAGGCAGAGGGGGGUGGAAUUCCACGUGUAGCAGUGAAAUGCGUAGAGAUGUGGAGGAACACCGGUGGCGAAGGCAGCCCCCUGGGCCAUGACUGACGCUCAGGCACGAAAGCGUGGGGAGCAAACAGGAUUAGAUACCCUAGUAGUCC
rnacentral:rRNA from 1 species